rnacentral:rRNA from 1 species
UACGAAGGGGGCUAGCGUUGCUCGGAAUUACUGGGCGUAAAGGGCGCGUAGGCGGCACUGUUAGUCAGGCGUGAAAGUCCUGGGCUCAACCUGGGAACUGCGCUUGAUACGGCAGAGCUAGAGGAUGGAAGAGGGUCGCGGAAUUCCCAGUGCAGAGGUGAAAUUCGUAGAUAUUGGGAAGAACACCGGUGGCGAAGGCGGCGACCUGGUCCAUUACUGACGCUGAGGCGCGACAGCGUGGGGAGCAAACAGG